rnacentral:rRNA from 1 species
GACGAACGCUUGCGACGUGCCUAAGAAAUGCAAGUCGAACGGAUCAGCAGCAAUGCUGGUUAGUGGCGAACGGUCGCGUAACACGUGGGCAACCUGCCCUGAAGCGGGGGACAACAACUCGAAAGAGUUGCUAAUACCGCAUGUGUCUCGCUGUGGCAUCACAGAGGAGACAAAGCCGCAAGGCACUUCAGGAUGGGCCCGCGGCCUAUCAGCUAGUUGGUGAGGUAACGGCCCACCAAGGCUUCGACGGGUAGCUGGUCUGAGAGGACGAUCAGCC